GUGGAGAAAUAGAAAUGCUUUUACUAUUUUUUUUUUUUUUUGGUAAGUUGUGUAUGUCUAGUAAUGUAUCCGCUUUUAUACUGUGGGUGGGAGUGUAAAUUAAUUCAACCACUGUAGAAGACAGUGUGUUGAUUACUCAAGAAUCCAGAACCAGAAAUACCAUUUGACUCAGCAAUGCCAUUACAGGGUAUAUACCCAAAGGAUUAUAAAUCAUUCAACUAUAAAGACACAUGCACGCAUGUUUAUUGAAGCACUAUUCACAAUAACAAAGACUUGGAACCAACCCAAAUGCCCAUCAAUGUUAGACUGCAUAAAGAAAAUGUGGUACAUAUACAUCAUGGAAUACUAUGCAGCUAUAAAAAAGAAUGAGUUCAUGUCCUUUGCAGUAUCUACACCUUAAAAAGUAUUUUAGUUAUUAUUUUAAAUAAGUUUGUCUUUUAGUCUUACUACUCAAGAUAUGAAUGGUUUACACACAGCGAAUACAUUGUCAGAAUAUUCUUUGUGUACUCACUGUUACCUGUGAGUUUUUACCUUUAGAUAAUUUCUUAUUGCUCAUUAACAUUCUUUCUUUUUAGAAUCAAGAACUUCCUUUUACAUUUCUUGAAUGACAGGUCUGGUGUUUUCCAAAUUUCUUAACGCUCAUUGGGAAAAUAUUUCUCCUUUAUGUGUGUGCGUGUGUGUGUUUUUUUUUUUUUUUUUUUUUUUUUGUGAAAGAGUCUUGCUCUGUCACCCCAGCUGGAGUGCAAUGGCACGAUCUCCGAUCUCGGCUCACUACAACCUCUGACUCCUGGGUUCAAGCAAUUCUCUUGCCUCAGCCUCUCAAGCAGCUGGGGUUACAGGUGCACGCCACAACACUCAGAUAAUUUUUGUAUUUUUACUAGAGACGGGGUUUCACCAUGUUGGCCGGGCUGGUCUCAAACUCCUGACGUCGUGCAUCCACCUGCCUCAGCCUGCUAAUGUGCUGGGAUUACAGGCAUGAGCCACCGUGCCUGGCCUCCUUUAUGUUUUAAAGGUAUUUUCACUGGAUACUGACACUCCUUUGUAUGUUAUUUGCUUGUUUUUUCUUGCUGCAUUUAGGAUUCUUUCUUUAUCUUUUUGUUUUGGGAGUUUGAUUAUUGAAUGUCUUGAAGUAGUCUUAAUGUGUUAAAUCCACUUGGUGUUCUAUUACUUUCUUAAACUUGAAUAUUGAUAACUUUCUUUAGGUUUCAAAAGUUCACUGUUAUUAUUUCUUUGAAUAGACUUUUACCCCAACCUCUUGCUAUACCUCCUCUUUUAGACCAGUAAUGAUUAGAUUUUUUUGAGGCCUUUUUCUAGAUCUUGUUGGUUUACUUCAUUCUUUUUCAUCCUUUUUUCUUUUGCUUUCUCUUACUGUGCAUUUUCAGUAGCCGAUCUCCAAGUUCACUAUUUUUUUUCAGCCUAAUAAUUUCUGCUAUUAAAAUACUCUGAUGCAUGUUUUCAUUUUGUUAAUUGAAUUUUUAAACUUCUAAAUAUCUACUUGAUUUUUCUAUUAUUUCAAUCUCUUUGUAAAUGUUUUCUAAUAGAAUUCUAAAUUCCUUAUUUGUGUUACUGUGAAAUUGGUUAAGCUUCCUCAAAAAAACCUAUUUUGAGUUCUCUUUUGAAAAGUCACAUAUGUCUCUCACUCCAGGAUUGGUCAGUGGUGCCUUAUUUUGUUCAUUUGGUCAGGUCAUGUUUUCUUGUAUAUUCUUGAUGCUUGUUGAUGUUCAUGAUGUUUGGGCGCUGAAGAGUUUAGGUAUUCUAAUCUUUGCAGUUCUUUCUUGUUUGGAUUUAUACUUCUCGAGAAGACUUUCCCAUAUCUAGAGUUGCAACUUAAGUCUUUGGUUACUGCAGCUAUAUCUGCACUAGGGAGUGCCACAAGUCCAGUAGUGAUGCCAUAUUUGCAUACUUGCAGAGGUAUAUCAUGGGUGGACUUGAAUAAGAUCUGGGAGCAUUUCCUGGAAUACCAGGGAGUCUCUCAUCCUCUUCUCUCACUUUUCCCCAAACAAGUGUUUGUCUCUCUGUGCUGGGCUGACUGAAAUUGGGGGAGGGAUGAUGCAAACACUUCCAGGGCCACCAAAGUUGGGACUAUGCUGGGUCACACUUGAAGCCAGCACGGUAAUGGGUCUAGUCCAAGGCCCAUGGUGACUACUGCCUGGCUACCACUCAUGUAGCCCUAUCAAGGUCCCUUUAGUCAGCAUGUGUUGCAUCCUGCCAAGGCUUGGUUUUUCACUUCAGGUUAGUGGGUUCCCUUCUAGCCCAGGGUGGGUUUAGAAAUGUCAUCCAAGACCUAGGGUCUGGAAUUGGAGGUCUCAGGACUCUGCUUUAUGCUUUUAUUUUUUUAUUAUUGUUAUUUUUAAACUGUGGCUGAAAGUGUAUCUAAGUCACAGGACAAAGUUCUUUUUACUCUUCCUUUUCCUUUCUGCAAGUGGAAGGAGUCUCUCCUGGAGCUAUGAGUUGUGCUUCCUGGAGUUGGAGAAGAGCUGAUGCAAGCAUUCCCUUGGCCACUCCAGCUUUUGUCUCACUGAGCUGUGGGUAUCUCAAUACCACUGUCUCCAAGCUCAGCAAAGCAACAGGACUUACCCAAGGACUGCAAGCCUUGAGCCUGACUGUCUUUCAAGUUUAUCCAGGACCCCAGGCUACAUUAAUCAGGCAUUGAUGGAGCUAGCCAGAGCUCAGGUUCCCACUGCUGGAGUAAAAGAUUACCUUUUGACUGGGGUUAGUCUAAAUGCCUCCUCUGUUGGCACUGGCUAAAUUCUGCCCUGUGUUGUGUUCCACUGGGACAAGGUAGCACUGAAUUCCAAUACAAAUACCAAAGUCCUUGACUCCCCCUCCCACAAGCACAUACAUUAUCUCUCUUUGUACUGCUGGGGGAUGGAGGAGGGAUGAUGUAGGCAAUGCAAGACUACCCUGGCUACCCUCUUCAGUGCUUCUUUUCUUGAUAUGAUGUUAUAAUCAGGUACUGUGAUUGCUUAUUUUUUUUUGGUUUUUAUGGAAGUUCUUUCUUGCAUGUAUAGUUAUUCAAUUCGGUGUUCCUGUGGUAGGGUUAUCAUUGGAGAGAUUUUUUUAGUCAUCUUGCUCUUCCUAUUCCCUAAAGUGUUUUAAAACUUAAAAGAAAAAAAGAACGAUAAGCAAAGUAAAAAGACAAAUGAAGCACUGGAGUUUACUUAAAAUCUGUAUUACAGAAAAAGGACUAAUACGUUUAUAACACAAAUAUACAUAUAUGUGUAUUUGUGUGUGCAUGUUUGUGAGUGUGUUUGUGUGUGUGUCUGUGUGUCUGUGUAGAGUGAGUUCCAAAUAUCUGAGAAAGAUCCCAGUCAAUUUAGAAAGUUUAUUUUCCCAAAGUUAAGGACAUGUGCCUGUAACAUAGCCUCAGGAGGCCCUGGUGACAUGUGCCCAAGGUGGUCGGGGCAUGGCUUGGUUUAUACAUUUUAGAGAGACAUGAGACAUCAAUCAAUAUGUGUAAGAUGUACAUUGGUUCAGUCCUGAAAGGCAGGACAACUCAAAGCAGGGAGGGGGCUUCCAGGUCAUAGGCAGAUAAAAGGCAAACCGUUGCAUUCUUUUUUUUUUUUUUCGCAGUUGCAAGAUUUAAUAGAGUGAAAACAGAGCUCCCAUAAAAUGGGAGGGGACCCAAAGGGGGUUGCCCUUGCCAGCUUGAAUGCCUGGGUUUAUAUCCCAAUCAUUGUCCCUCCCCCUGUGCUCUCAGGCAAUAGAUGAUUGGCUAUUUCUUUACCUCCUGUUUUAGCCUAAUUAGCGUUUUAGUGAGCUCUCUUUACUACCUGAUUGGUCAAGUGUGAGCUAAGUUGCAAGCCCUGUGUUUUAAAGGUGGAGGCGGUCACCUUCCCGGCUAGGCUUAGGGAUUCUUAGUCGGCCUAGGAAAUCCAGCUAGUCCUGCCUUUCAGUCCCCCUCUCAACAGGAAAACCCAAGUGCUGUUGGGGGAGGUUGGCCCACGACCGCUCUAACUGCUUCCUGCUGAAUUGGGGCGUAGUAGGGGUCGUGCAGUUGAGAUUUCCUCAGGAGUGGCACCUUCGAUGUUAUUCUUUUGAGUUUCUGAUUAGCCUUUCCAGUGGAGACAAUCAAUACAUAUCUAUCUCAGUGAGCAGAGGAAUGACUUUGAGUUCUGCAUGCCCUUUGUCUGCAAGGAAAUUUCUUGUGAGGCAGGUAUGUAGCUUUUUUAAUCUUACGAGCUAUCGUUUUUAGGAAUAGAAUGGAAGGAAGAUUUUCCCUAAGCAGUUCUCAGCUUAACCUCUUUCUUUGGCUUAGUGAUUUGGGGGUCUCAAGAUGUAUUUUCCUUUUACAUUUCCCCCUUUUCUUUUUAAAAUCUUUCAGAGAAAGCAUUUUAGAAGAAAAUGAGUUUCUGGUCUCAGGUUCUGUCUGAUCUGUCACGGAGCGGAUGAUUUAUUCUUAGAUGAAUAGGUCCCACAUUAUUAGGAAAGCUCAUUUUUAGCAGGUCGUAAAGUCUCACGUCCUACACAGAGAAAACUGGGGAAGAAGGGAAGCAAAAUAACAAACAAAAAGAUAUUAAUUCUGGAAAAUUGAUGUAGGCCAUAUUAUUCUAAAAUCUAUACAUCAGUAGGCAGAUAUGAAAGUGGUUUAUUUAUGUAACUAGAUUGCUGUUAUUUUCUUCUGAAAUUUAAGUUGUUUAGCUUCAGUUCUCUUGGCUUUAAGAGAAGAGAGCUUAAUUUUUAGUGAUUUCAAAUCAGAAAAAAAUGGGAAUAAAAGGAAAGAAAGGAAGGAAAAUAAUUGGAAACAUUAUUUUGGAGACUUGUACCCAGGAAAAAUUUUAAAAUUCAUUCCAAACUGUAGAAAAUAAUAAAAAUUGAAAAACAUUAGGUUAGGCAAGACUAGAAUCUAACAACAGGUGUACUAUAGUUUAUUUUGAAACACUCUCUCUCCAGUCCUGAUUUUGCUAAAGACAAAUCAUAGGACAAAUUCAUUUGCAAAAUAAGUUUUAGUCUUACUAUACUUGGCUGGAGUAUUUGCAUAAAGUCAGCAAGAAUAAUUAUUUACUAUAUAGGCUCCUCCUUUUUGUUAAAAUUGGCUUUGCUGGAAUUUUAUUGAAUAAGGAAUCUCAGAUCUAACUUUAAUGCCUUAGACCCAGCCUGUGCCUGCAAAUACCUUUAUUAAUUAGGUGAAUUCUUCACCUCAAGGUCCCCAGAAAACUUGGGGCCCCUGGGCUUGUCAGAAAGCAACAUUCUUUUUUUUUUUUUUAGACGGAGUCUCGCACCUGCCUCGGCCUCCCAAAGUGCUGGGAUUACAGGCAUGAGCCACCGCACCUGGCCAGAAAGCGACAUUCUUUACUUACCACAGAUCAGAAACCUAUACGAGGACUUUGUAGACAAGGUUUGAAGUCAGCUUUCCCAAGGGACUUUCAUUGGCUCUGUAAGCCAUCUUUCAUUCCUUAAAGGAGUCUUUACCUGAUAGGAUGCCAUUUCAGUCAAAACCUUAAAUAACCAAUGUCUCCAAUUCUGUCCUGUUAAUAACACAGAUUCUUAUUGCACUUAUGCAAAUCACUAUAUUGCCAUAAGUGAAGUAUAUUCUGUUAGGGACAAACCGCCCCAAAAAGCUUCUUGGUACUGCCAACACUCCCCCCAAACCUCUCCAUGCUGCCCACCCUUCCCCAAAACCAUUUUACAUUUCUAAGCCCUUACCUAGGCGCUGUGGUGAAGCCAGCAGAUUUUAUCUAUCAGGUCUUGCUUCAAUAAAGCAAACCCCAAUUACAAAAAAUCCAGACCGCACGGGGGAGGUUGUGGGAAGCAUAAACAAACUUUACCUACACCCUCCUGUAAAUUCUACCAUAAACAUCACAGGGUAAUAUGUGGCAAAAUUAACCAGCAAACAACCCCGGGAUGCAGCCAUACCAAAGAACUCCCUCAAACUCCCUCCCCAAUAUAAACCCCUCAUUCUGUAAGCUGGGGGCUGCUCUCUCUGACUGUUUAGAGGGCAGUCUGUAGGUUAAUAAAGGCUUGCUGAACUUGGGUCUCUCUCUCUCUCAUUCUUUCUCUCUCAGCUGACCUUACAUAUUAAAAACUAGUUUCUAAAUUUUGAAGAAAUUAGGUAGAGAGAAAUAUGCUCCAAUUUUUUUUAUAGGAGCACACUUUAUUCGAUUGUUAAAAGCUGCAAAUAGCUCAAAAGAAAAAAAAUUUUUUUUUGGCUGUGAAAAACAAAGAAAAGGAUAACAACAUUUUAAGCAAAAAGUCAUUACAGGAUUAUUUCAGUCUUCUGUUAGUUCAGUCCAUGUCGUUACCUCCCAUUCUGCUUGAUAUUCCGGAACAUUUUAGCUCUCCAUGGGAGUCUUGGGAGUUUUUUUUCCCUAAUCUAUGUCACAAUCUCCAAAACUGCAUUUCACAGCACCCAUCAGAGUCCUAUGCUGAUUAUAAAACCACCUUUUGAAAAUGAUAAAAGUAAAACAAUUGUGGAUGACAAAAGUCUUAAAACAGUCAUAAAGACACAAUUGACAAGAAAAUUUGGUUACUUCUGUGGCAUAUAAUUUUACAUAAUAAUUAUAAUUACUACUGGUAACAUAUGCUAAAACGUAUCAGCAUAGCAGGAAUUGUAUACAAUUCUGGAACACAUACUAAUAACACAUUUAUAUAAAUAUAAUCCAAAGAAAGGCUAAACACCUAAUUUAGUUUGACAAAAUAUUGUCACGUAUUUUAUAUUUGACAGUACUUCCUGUACGAUUUCUUUAUACCAAAUAAGCUGAAUAUAUUUCUUUUGGACUUCAGGGGACUAAUAUUAAAAAAUUAAUGAGGACCAAAGUUAGAACUUGACUUUGAAAAGUUUGUCAAAAGUAAAAUUUUAAAACACUUAAUAUCACUAAAUAGGAUCACAGGUCGUUGUAAAAUAAGUCACUAACUUAGCCAAAGUGAUAACUCAAAGAUUUUCAACAAAAGGCAAAAGCCUUUAUUCUUUGAGAGAGGAGACUUAAUUUCCCAAAGAAUAAGCCCUAAUAAAAGCAGAUGAGUCCAAUUUUAUUCUGAAAUAAAUUCUAAUAUUCUGAUUGCUCAUUCUUUGUAUGUGACCUGUCUUUAUAUAACUGCAAAUAAGACAUUUUAUGUGUCUUUCUUCAAAUUUACUACAACAUGUCAAAGUAGAUUUUUUUUAAAUUAUAUACUGCUUGGUAUAUAUUGUUCCUUCUCGGAUUUAUGUUUAGUUUUAUUAGUUUGGUAUUUUUCAAAUAAUUACUUACACUUCUUUCUUUUAAUUCUCUAUAUCUGAACCUUUAAUUAGAUACAUAUUACAUGACUAGACUUCUCAUUCUAUCUUCAUUAUCUUUUAUGAUACCUUUCAUAUUGUCCAUCUUUUAGUCUCUGUGUUCCAUAUUGGGUAAUUUUUUUCACAGACUCUCCCACUUCACUAAUUAUCACUUAAGUUGUGUCUAAUAUGUUGUUAAAUUCUUCCAUUGAGUUUGAUUUUUGGUUAACAAUUACAUUUUCUGUAUCUAGAUUUUCCAUAUGUUGUAAAUUUUCUCCCAAAAUGUGUGUGUUCAUUCCUGUUAAUUUUCUGUGUUUGCCUAUUUUUGUAAGUGUAUCUUUUAGUUCUUUAAAUGUUUUGUGCUUUUCUAGAGAGGAUUGAGAUUUAUUGUUUGUAAUUUCUGCGAUUCAGUGACUUAACUUUGGUCCAUUAGUGUGCUUGUGUGAGAUAAAGCUGCAUAACAACCCCAAAACUCAGUGGUUUACCAACACUAAUUUUUCACUGACGGGUUGAUGGGUAAGCUAAGGGAGCUUUGGUUCAAACCUGAACUGAUUACCAGGUUCAGGUUUGUUUCACGUUCUUCCAGGGUUCAGCCUGGAAGAGUGGGGCUUACCUGAGGUAUAUUCUAGUUGUAAUAGAGGGCUCAUUUUUAGCUUUCAUUUUUAGUUUGUAGUGUUGUGUACCAUUUACAAACCUUAAAAAGUCAGUUUUCUAAAGAAAUCCUCAACAAUUUUAUUUAAGUAAACAUUCUCCUACAGAAUAUAUAUCCUGUAGCUUUGCUGUUGUGUUUUUAUAAAAUAAAUACAUGUAAAAACAUAUAAUUUGAUUUACUUUUAAUAACAUGCUUAAUAUUGGUAUUUUCAUAUUAUGGAAUAAAUUUCUGUUAAUGGGAUUCUAGUUUAUAGAAACACACAUGUAAGAAGUGAGAAGUUGACUUACAACAGUUUGACUUCAAUCCAGUACUCAGAAAUAUAUUAGUAAAGAAAUUGGGGCUUUUCUGUAGUUAUUAUCUUGAAGAUACAAGGCCAAAGAUUAUCAACCACAACUAAGAAACAAACAAAUAGAAAAGGUACUUGUGCCUGCUAGUGAAAUAUAACAACAGUCGUUUAAUUUUAAAUUUUAGGAAGACCGUACAAGUUAUUCUAGAGCCUUUGAAUGCAUUGACAUUUGCUUUCAGUUAGGAAAAGAACAAACACACGCUUCUUAAAUCAGAUCACUAAGCUUAACAGAAAUAUUAUUUGCACUUAUAGUUGUUUGGAUUUCAGUUACAUCAGACUGCUUGGUAUUCUCUCCUUUUACUUUAAGUGACACUAUAGCAGAGAACACAAUGUACAUUUUUUGGUGUUCAUGAUAUCUGUAAUUUGUAUCAUCUGUCAAAGGUGGGAUUAUUUUGUAUCUGCCAUUGCCUGUAAGUAUAUGAAAGUAAAACUUUUCUACAUGUUUCACUUAGUUAACACAGUUUUUAAAAUACAACUUUGCUGAUUUCCUUAGCAAGUUUAUAGUUAGGCAGCUGCAAAAAUACCAGUGAUAAAUAAAUGGAAGAUAAGAGAAAUAGCUUUCUCCAUCUGUUCCUAUAUUAAAUGAGUGAUGAUACACAUUAUCUUUCAUGCAGUUUCUCAACUUUGCCUUGAUAUUUCUGUAGUACCAGGAUGCUGUUAUACUAUGCAUAUGUUUUGGUCCACUGGCAUAAUUGUUUAAGUUGGUAUUACUGGAAGCAUGCAAUGUUUAACCCAUAUAUAGGCUUGUGUCAUACAGAAGGGUGUGAUGGGACUGGAAAAUAAGGAAAAUGAGAAAUAAGACCUCAUUGAGACCAAUGUUAUUUUCUUCUAAAAUAUCUUAAACCCAGAUAAACUUUACAAUAAAGUGUCUUCAGCGGACCCGUAGGCUCACGCCUAUAAUCCCAGCACUUUGGGAGGCUGAGGCGGGUGGAUCACCUGAGGUCAGGAGUUCCAGACCAGCCUGCCCAACAUGGCGAAACCCUGUCUGUACUAAAAAUACAAAAAUAUUAGCCAGGCUUGGUGGCAGGUGCCUGUAAUCCCAGCUUCUCAAGAGGCUGAGGCAGGAGAAUCACUUGAACUCAGGAGUCAGAGGUUGCAGUGAGCUGAGAUGGCGCCACUGCACUCCAGGCUGGGUGACAAGAGAGAAACUCCGUCUCAAAAAAAAAAAAAAAAGUGUUUUCAUUCUCCAUGAAUUCUGUGCAUAAAUAAGAACCUCCACCUCACACACUUUAAAAUAAUACAGAUAAAUAAUAAACUUAAAGCUUUUAGGUCAAAAUAGAGUUAUACGAAGAACUUAGGCUGUGGCAGUUAUGGAGAUUUUAUGACCUUGAAACUUUCAGAGUCUUAUAACAGUAAGGCCUUUCAGACAUCCUGGGGGAUAGGGAAAAUAAUCCAUACAAUUCUGUGGGUAGUGCUGGAAUUAGAACACUGUAGUCAGGGUAAGUAUAAUCAAUGGCUAAUUGGCAAAGGGCCUAUCUCUGGCUUUUCCACCAUUUAAAGCAAACCUAUGGUAACAGCUAGUGCCUUGACUGUCCUAUGGACUUCAAAUUUUGAAAGUAAGUAGUAAGGACAGAAAACAUUAAAAAUGUGGGGCUAAUGGGAUAGGUUUUAACUGAAAGCAGAAGGGAGAAUCAAAUUAUUAUUGCUAAAAUUGGGUCAUUACAACUAUUCCAGUGAUUGAAACUGGAAGGAUAUAAAAGUAAUUUCUGAGACAACACUGUUUUAAUUUCAGACAAGAUAGAAUGGUAAUUUAUUAGGCAAUUGAAAAGUAGUUAAGGAGAUAGGUUGGCAGGCAGGCAAAUGAAAAGGUAAAUAUUUUUAACAAGCCCCAAAUAAGUAUUUCAAAUGACAUCCUGCCCAUAUCUACUUGAAUAUCUUACGGAAUCUCAAACAUCAUGACCAAACCAAGAUUCAAUAUAUUCUAUUCUCCCAUACUAACUGCUUAUCCUGUAAUUCCCAUCUCAUUUAAUGAGGAAAAUAUUCAUUUUAUAUCCAAUAAAGAAACUUGAGAAUCAUCCCCAAGUUGUAUUUUUUUAAAAAAAUCUCAUAUUCAUACUUUGAUUCCUGUCAGUUUGACUUAAUAAGUAUAUCUUAAAUUUGUCAUUUUAUUUCCGCCUGGAAGUACUACUGGCUUUAUUCUACUCACCAUCAUCUAUUACCUAGAAUACUGAAAAAGCUUUCUAAGUAAUUUCUCUGCCUCCACUUUUUUUCUCCUUUCUCAUUCCAUCCUCCAAUCUAUCAUCUCCAGGGUAAUCUCUCUGAAUGGAAAUCUGCUCAUGUAACCAACUUGCUUAAAAAUGUUCAAUGUCUGUUUAUAGCUUUCAAGAUAAAGUCCAAACUUUUUAGCAUGCUGUGUAAAGCCCUGAUGAUCUGCCCCCAGGCAGACCAUUUUCUUAGUUUUUCACCAUUCGAAAAUAUAUAUCCUAUGUCCCUUCCACAAUUGUAUGCAACUUGCUAAUGCAUGCCUCUGUACUUUUGCAUAUACUACUCUACUCCUCCCCUAGUGGCUUAGUUCAAUAUUACAUUCUCCAUAAAAAUUUCUAUGCUUACUUUUGUAUACAUCCAUUUAUCUGUAAUUCUUUAGCAUAUUGUUGAUUUGUUCAUUUACUGAUUCAUUCAUUCAAUUAUAUACAUAUAAUUGCCUAUUAUAUUUAGAUACUAUAUUGAACACAUGAAAAACAAGAUUCACUUCCACAUCUGAAGGAAACCAAAACGUACAUGGGGGAUAUAAAAUGAUGACAAGGCAAUUUGGUAAGUGCCAUAAUACAAGUAACUGUAAGAUACUAUAAAAACCCACAGGUACAGUAUCUAUCCAGUAUGUGAUGUGGGGCAAGGGUUAUAUGUCAAAGAAACUUCUUUGAAAAGGUAUUGGCUGGAGAAAGGCAGAGAAAGAUGGGUGAAUAGAAGGCUCCCCCAAAAGCCCUUCACCAAGAAAAACAAUUUAACAAAUAUUUAAACAAAGAAAGCAUCUUCGUAAGAACAAAGAAUCAGAUGAAUAAUCACAGUAUGUUGGUUUAACUUCAUAUUACUGAAAGAGGCACUGAAAAGGUUAAAAAAAGACAGUCAUGAAUUGCUGACACUACACCUCCCCAGUGCCCAGCAGCAACUGUGUGGCAGAGAUAGAGAAUCUGUGAUCUUGGAAGAGGGAGAGUGCAACAGUUGUGAGACGUUGCAUUGAACUCAAUACUGCCCUAUCACAGAAGAAAACAAAACCAGGCUAAACUCAGCUGAUGCUCCCCCAUGGAGAGAAUAUUUAAGACAACCCUAGCCAGAGAGGAAUCACCCAUCUAAGCAGUCAGAAGCAGAUUUCUAGCAAGCCUUGCCACCGUGGGCUAAAGCGUACUGGUGCCCUAAGUAAACUUGAAAUGCAAUCUAGGCCAGACGACUGAAAAACGUAGGCAAAUUCUACUGCUGAAAUGGGCUUAGAGCCAGUGAACUUGGGAGGCAUGUGACCUGCUGAGACACCAGUUGGGCAGCUAAAGGAGUGUUUGCACAAUACCUCCCUCAAACCCAGGCUGCACAUCUCUCAGACACAAAAGUGACCCCUCUCUUCCACUUGUGGAGAGGAGAGGAAAAAUUUUAAAAGACUCUGUCUUGCAUCUUGGAUACCAGCUUAGCCAGAGUAGCACAGGGCACCAGUCAAAGGCAUGAGGCCCACUGUCCAGGCUGUAGGUCCAAGAUAACACUUCUAGACACACCUGGGACAGAAGGAAAAAUCACUGGCUUGAAGAAAAAGACUCAAUCCCAGCAGGUUUCAUCACCUGCUAAUUAAAGAGCCCUUGGGCUCUUUAUAUCCAGUGAUAUCCAGGUAGUACACCAUGGGCCUUGGGUGAGACUUGGAUACUUGCUUCCUUUAGGUAUCAGCUCUGCCACAGGUAAGUAGAACACCAAGUGGGCUCCUGGGAUCCCCAAAUUCCAGAAAUUUGUCUCUUGAAUGGCAUUUCUGGAAGUGCCAUGGGCCAGAGGGGAGCCCACUGCCCUGAAGUGUGAGUCCCAGGAAAGGCAACAAUCAUCGCAAGCUGACUGAAACCCACUUGGACCUUAAGGAAACUCUGGCAUGGGCUGGCGGUGGAGGUGGCCAGGAGGUGAGGCUCCUCUGUCUAAGCAAAGGGGAGAAAUAAGUGAGAAUGACUGAAUCUUGUGGUUUGAGUCACAGCUCAGCUGCCGUACAAUGGAAUAACAGAUAAAAUUAUGAGAAUUUGACUUCACCUUCUGGCUCACAAUGGCACCACUGGACUUGCCAGGCACUUGGGGAAGCUCACUGCCCUGAAGGGAAAGACAUGAGCCUGGCUGGCUUCUCACCGGCUAAUUGUAGAGCCUGGGGGCCCUGAGUGAAAAUAAGCAGUAGCCAGGGAGUGGUUAAAGCAGGCCUUGGGUGAGCGUCAGUGCUGUGCUGACUUCAGGUCUGACCUAGUGCAGUCUCAGUAGUGGUGGCCACAGGGGUUCUUGUGUCAGCCCAUCUGCAACUCCAGUCAGCUUAGUACACAGAGAUAGAUUCUAUUUGUUUGUUAGAAAGUAAGGAAAGAGAAAAAUAGUCUCGGACUGGUAAUCCACAGAAUUCUUCUGGAUCUUUUACAAGACCAUCAAGGCAAUACCUUUAUGAGUCUACAAGAACCACAGUGUUAGUGGGCUUGGGGUGCCCGCUAAUGCGGGUGUGACUUAGAACACAAUUAUAGGUGGGAAUUGAACAAUGAGAACACAUGGACACAGGAAGGGGAACAUCACACACUGGGGACUG
rnacentral:lncRNA from 1 species